rnacentral:tRNA from 1 species
GCCGGGGUGAUGAAACUGGUAAACAUGCGAGAUUUAGGAUCUCGUGCCGAAAGGUUUGCGGGUUCGACUCCCGCCCCCGGCA